UUGUCAUGUGUUUUGUUUUUACUCUGCUUAAAAAUCCAUCCGUCAAAAGUUUACCCUACAACUUUGUAGCUCUCGGAGCUACAAACUUUUUGACGUUGAGUUUUGUGCCUUCCCCACCAAAUCAAGCGUAAACUUUUAGAGUUUUACGCAUAAUGUAUCGUAGGCUGUAGAAUGCCUAGAAAAAUUAAUGUUUUAUUGUUUCGUUCAAAACGAAAUAAAUCCAAUUGUGAUGCUCCUUGUGGAGCAAAAUUUCGCGGAUCGCACAAUCGCUCCUGUGUGCAGCGCUCCGUGUUGAGCUACCUCAAAUGCACACUUUAGAGAGCGAGAGCGGUGCGCUUCGCUCUUGCAAAAGAGCUACUUGACCCAACACUAUUCGUUGUCGUUGUUUCGAAACCGGAGUCAGUUCCAGUUCCGGAGCCGGCUCCGGAGUCGGUUCUGGAACCGACUCCGGUUUCGAAACAACGACUACAAACAACUCCUGUAACUCACUCACGAUCGAAUACCGUCGUUUGUCGAUGGUGUUUAAACAUCUUAUCUUCUGUUUUGAAACGGUUUAGCGAUUAUUAUGAAACAGGUCAAAAGACAUUUAAAGCAGAUUAUUUAGAAAGCAAUAUGAAUGCAAAUUGUCGUUGAAUUUUGAACAUUUGUCUGGAACGAACGGUCAAACAAAGAGCAUGUAUACAGCCAGUUUUAGUGUUAGCACAUUAUCAUGCUUAAGGGUGAUUGAAAAAAAUCCGAAAAGUGUGGUGAAAAAACAAAUCACUAUGAUAACGAAAGAACAUAUCAAAGCGUUAUAGAACUUUGUUUAUUAAGUAGCAGUAUCACUUCCGCAUCACAGUUUAGUGUGGUACUGCGCGUUGUACGUUAGCGAUCGUAGGUUUUGUCUUGUGAUUAAAAUGACUAAAUGGUACGUUGUGUUACUUUCCCUGGUGAUUGGACUGGUGGCAGCUCAUAAUCAUCCUGACAAUCAAUCUUAUCCUUUGGAAGAAGUCACGAUUACAAACGAAUCUCGAAUACUAGAGCGGAUUGAGCAUUUGUCACAAACAUUGAGUGAAAAAAUAAACCUGCUGAACGAUCGGGUCGAUGAAUUGCAACGUGAUAUCAGUAAUAAAUUUCUGGUGCUAAAUGAAACGAAAAGUUCAUCCAUAGAAAAAUCGAUACCGUCUACAAAUUUGGAUUGUUCAUAUAUCUCUUCAUGUAUCGAUCCACGCUUAAAUGAAAUGCAAAAAGCAACGAACGCAACGCUUGUUACGACAAACAAAUAUUGGGAAAACAAAUCGGAACAGCUGCUUAGCUCCUUAACGUCAACUACACAACGGUUGAACGAGCUAGAGCACAAGCUAGAACAACUUCCGGAAGAGACGGGAGUGUACUUUAUCCAACCAGAUAAUUUAAAGAACAUCACGUUUGAAGUAUCGCGCGAUUGGACGAAUAAUCACCGAUUCGGCAGCUGGAUCGUAUUCCAGCGACGGUUCGAUGGUUCGGUCAAUUUCUAUCGCAAUUGGGCCGACUAUAAGGAAGGGUUUGGUGAUCUACGUGGCGAACAUUGGCUAGGAUUGGAAAAGCUGUACGCGAUCUUGAAAACCCGCCGACACGAGCUGCUUAUCGUGUUGGAAGACUUCGACGGUGUGAUAGCUUAUGCACACUACGAUGACUUCAAGAUCGGAGAUGAAAGUGAGAAAUACGCCAUAAAAUCGGUUGGCCGUUUCAACGGCAUGGUGGGUGACGCAUUUAGAGAUCACAGGGGCAGUAAAUUUUCCACAUACGAUCAGAACAAUGAUGAAUCUUCGAACAACUGUGCCGAGGAGCAUCUUGGUGCGUGGUGGUAUACCAGAACUGAAACGAACAAUUGCUAUUACAGUAAUUUGAACGGAGAAUAUCGAAACAAGAACUACUUUACUACUCUUUACUGGUAUACGCAUCUAGAAGCAUAUACCACCCUAAAGAGGACUAAAAUGAUGAUUCGACCUGUUACGUGAGAGUUUUAAAAAAUUAACAAUGAAAUUAAAAACCAAACUGACUUGGUUUAACGUUCAACACGAAUUAAAUUAACGUUACAUGAAACAGUAAAAUGAUAUCAACAUAUGGAAACAUAUUAAAAUUAUAAUAACAAAAAAGGCAAAAUACAGUGGAGUGCCGGUUAUCCGUGCUCAUCGCGACGCUGCCCUUGCCGGAUAAGCGAAUAUCACGUAUAAUAGGCACAACUCUUUAAUAACAUAAUGAAAAAUUCGUCAGAUAAGGUAAUACAGUGCUGCUUACCGCUUUAUUAUCCAUCCGAAGCCUUCGCCACUCAGCAAUUGUAAGGAUCAGAACAACUCUAAACCCCAACUAUGAAGACACUCUUCUAAGCUC